rnacentral:rRNA from 1 species
GACGAACGCUGGCGGCGUGCUUAACACAUGCAAGUCGAGCGGUAAGGCCCUUUCGGGGUACGACGAGCGGCGAACGGGUGAGUAACACGUGGGUGACCUGCCCUCCAGCUCUGGGAUAAGCCUGGGAAACUGGGUCUAAUACCGGAUAUGACUCCAUGACGCAUGUUGUGGGGUGGAAAGCCUUGUGCGGCUGAGGAUGGGCCCGCGGCCUAUCAGCUUGUUGGUGGGGUGGAUGGCCUACCAAGGCGACGACGGGUAGCCGGCCU